CGGGUGACGAGCGGCGGACGGGUGAGUAAUGUCUGGGAAACUGCCUGAUGGAGGGGGAUAACUACUGGAAACGGUAGCUAAUACCGCAUAACGUCGCAAGACCAAAGUGGGGGACCUUCGGGCCUCAUGCCAUCAGAUGUGCCCAGAUGGGAUUAGCUAGUAGGUGGGGUAAUGGCUCACCUAGGCGACGAUCCCUAGCUGGUCUGAGAGGAUGACCAGCCACACUGGAACUGAGACACGGUCCAGACUCCUACGGGAGGCAGCAGUGGGGAAUAUUGCACAAUGGGCGCAAGCCUGAUGCAGCCAUGCCGCGUGUAUGAAGAAGGCCUUCGGGUUGUAAAGUACUUUCAGCGAGGAGGAAGGCAUUAAGGUUAAUAACCUUAGUGAUUGACGUUACUCGCAGAAGAAGCACCGGCUAACUCCGUGCCAGCAGCCGCGGUAAUACGGAGGGUGCAAGCGUUAAUCGGAAUUACUGGGCGUAAAGCGCACGCAGGCGGUUUGUUAAGUCAGAUGUGAAAUCCCCGGGCUCAACCUGGGAACUGCAUUUGAAACUGGCAAGCUUGAGUCUUGUAGAGGGGGGUAGAAUUCCAGGUGUAGCGGUGAAAUGCGUAGAGAUCUGGAGGAAUACCGGUGGCGAAGGCGGCCCCCUGGACAAAGACUGACG
rnacentral:rRNA from 1 species